rnacentral:rRNA from 1 species
GACGAACGCUGGCGGCGCGCCUAACACAUGCCAGUCGAACGAGCGAGAGAGAGCUUGCUUUCUCGAGCGAGUGGCGAACGGGUGAGUAACGCGUGAGGAACCUGCCUCAAAGAGGGGGACAACAGUUGGAAACGACUGCUAAUACCGCAUAAGCCCACGGCUCGGCAUCGAGCAGGGGGAAAAGGAGCAAUCCGCUUUGAGAUGGCCUCGCGUCCGAUUAGCUAGUUGGUGAGGUAACGGCCCACCAAGGCGACGAUCGGUAGCCGGACUGAGAGGUUGAACGGCCACAUUGGGACUGAGACACGGCCCAGACUCCUACGGGAGGCAGCAGUGGGGAAUAUUGCACAAUGGGGGAAACCCUGAUGCAGCGACGCCGCGUGGAGGAAGAAGGUCUUCGGAUUGUAAACUCCUGUUGUUGGGGAAGAUAAUGACGGUACCCAACAAGGAAGUGACGGCUAACUACGUG